rnacentral:lncRNA from 1 species
AAGCCUCCGGCAUGACGAACGACGCCCACGAUAACCAGGCUCAUGAUACCAAUUGUUGGCACCGCCUCCUCGCAGCGCCGCUUCUCCUUCUACCUCCCGUUGUGACUCACAACUCUCUCUUCUCUCAAGAGCACAAGAACACACACACACGCACGCACACAACCAAAGAAGAUGACCAAGGGCUUUGCCCAGAAGACUUCCUUG